GACGAACGCUGGCGGCGUGCUUAACACAUGCAAGUCGAACGGAGAGGCCCUGCUUUUGUGGGGUGCUCGAGUGGCGAACGGGUGAGUAACACGUGAGUAACCUGCCCUUGACUUUGGGAUAACUUCAGGAAACUGGGGCUAAUACCGGAUAGGAGCUCCUGCUGCAUGGUGGGGGUUGGAAAGUUUCGGCGGUUGGGGAUGGACUCGCGGCUUAUCAGCUUGUUGGUGGGGUAGUGGCUUACCAAGGCUUUGACGGGUAGCCGGCCUGAGAGGGUGACCGGCCACAUUGGGACUGAGAUACGGCCCAGACCCCUACGGGAGGCAGCAGUGGGGAAUAUUGCACAAUGGGCGGUAGCCUGAUGCAGCAACGCCGCGUGCGGGAUGACGGCCUUCGGGUUGUAAACCGCUUUCGCCUGUGACGAAGCGUGAGUGACGGUAAUGGGUAAAGAAGCACCGGCUAACUACGUG
rnacentral:rRNA from 1 species